rnacentral:lncRNA from 1 species
GUCACGUUGUGGGUUGAGUUCGCUCAGGCGUUCGCUGUGAAUGUUCCCUGCCGUGCGCGGCGGCCGGGCUACGGUAGCCGCCACGGCUUUUCUGUCGUGAGGGGCAUUGCCCCCAUCCAUCAGGUAGCCCUGCUGCUGAGGAGCUGGCGGGGACCCCGAGUCAUUGUGGUAAAGAUACAUGAAGAGGGAAGUCCCGCUUCUGCUGCUGCUGUUGAGAAAAGUAACGCUCUGGGAGGCAGAGUCGGAGCCGGUAGCAUUCCUGCACCGCUCCGUGGGCUCUGCUGGUCGCUUCUCCCUGCCGGCCCUCGGCGUGCCUGGCCAGAUUUCUGAACUUAAAGGGAAGAUAUUUAGAUCACUCAGUUUAACGCUACUGGCUACCUGUCUAGAACAAGCCACACAGCAUCAGUUCACUGGGAUUAGAACUACUCUGAAUAACAUGCUUUGGUCCAGCAUGAAGGAAGACAAUCUUAAUGAGUUAAGAGGCUCUUAAAGCAGACCACAGGAAUUUCAAGAGUGAAGCUGAAUGAAACCAUGGAAAUUAAUCAGGGCUCCCAAGGAGCUGGGAGGAGACAGAAUCAGGAGAGCUCAUACAAACUGGCCGAAGGGAUAUUCCAUACCAUAUGACAUCAUGAGGAAGAAAAGUUUGGAAAGGGGUGGGAGUUCAGCUCUCACUCUUACUUCCGUUGCCUGGGAGCUAACUGGAUAUUGGUCAGUGUCUGGGUAGCAAUUGCUUGUGCAUCACUUGUUAUACAUGUUUGUGUAUAUAUAUACUUGUUUGUCAUAGCUAUUAUCUUGUUCCUUUUCUCUAUCUUAGUAAAUGGUUUUAUCUCAAUCCAUAAGUUCUAUCUACUUUGUUUUUUAUUUUUCAAUUAUCUCCCCCAUCCCACUGGGAAAGGGAGAGUGAGCAAACAGCUGUGUGGUGCUGAGCCACCUGCCAGGUUAAACCUCAACACUGCUUCGGGAGAGGAACUGAAUUCAAACUUGCCUACUAUACUUAGAUCACUCCGAAAGUAAUGCCUCCUCUUUAUUCCCAUGGAAACUACAACUACAAAGAACACAAUAACACUACUUGUUAGAGCAAAUUCUCAGCUACAAAACACUACCGUUCAACACAGUCA